rnacentral:lncRNA from 1 species
CUUCCCUUAUUACUAGAAACAGUUACUCGCUAUGCAUAACCUAGUUGAUAGUUAAAUUUGCUAUUGCUUUUUUCUUGUCUUGUUAAACAAAAUCUUUAAAUCUUUUUCAAUAAAGUUUAGUCUUAAUAUAAUGUUAUAACAGUUGUUCUGGUUCAAUAUAACCUGUGAUAAGUUUGUGUCGUUUUAAAGCCACUCCGCACCCUCCCUCCACACUACCGCUUUGUGAUGAAACUUUAUGCAAAAAUGUGGGUCUGAAGCAUAAUUUUCAGUUUUCAAACAUUUUAUAACAUCCAAUUUUGGAGGCUCAGGCACCUGAAUUCGAUGAGCAAAUGUCCAUUGUAUUUGAGGGUCAUUCAUUGCACUGGACUAAUCAGUCAACUCACCUAAGAGUCAAACUUAUUUUUAGAGAAUCAUGUUUGAAAAUUACAAAAGAACAUCUCUUUAAAGAGAUCUUGAUCAUUGUACACUAACUAUACUUAUGGCACUUGUUGCUAUUUAAAAAUACUGAAGGUAUUUAAUGGAUUAUACCCAUUCUAUAUUUUAUAUACUAUAAUAUGAUAUAUAUUUUGAAAGGUAAAGAUAGGGAAUGGUUCCUGAAGUACUGAAUUGGAUUUUGUUGAGCCAGGAAACAUGAGGUGUAGGAAAAUUGUAAACACUCAGACACAUUCAUAUAUAUAUAUACUCUCUCAUAACCACAUCUUAGGCAGACCAUCUGUCAUCAUCGAACCACUAUACAGUUCUGACCUCAGAACACCAACAGACCCCUUUUCAUGCUCCAGAGCUGUUUGGAGUUUGAAUUAUGCAACGACCCCAGUAGAAUGUUGUUCUGAUGUGUGAACAUAUUUCCUAUGUCUUUUGAACUGUGUUCAUGCUCAUGAGUGUGUUUGUGAACACGUUUGCGUGUGUGUGUGUGUGUUUGUAAGGGUGUUUGAAACAUGGGGAUGCGUCACCUCGGUCUAUGCCCAACCCCUAUGGCUCACACAUCCCCUGUAGCGCCUUCUAGUGGCAGCCUGCCAAUAGGAAAUCAACAGCCAGUAGUGUAGGAGGGAAGGUUAAGAGAGGAACAAGGCUCUUGUCAUUUUUAAUUUUCUCCUGAAAUGUGUUUGUUUACUAUCUGAAAAUCUAUAAACUAUCUUUAAAGAC